GCCUUCAUGGCCAAUGGUGCAAGGAUCGAUCAUCCUUAAUAGAGGGGAAAGAAGGCACAGGAUGUCCACAACAUAUGCAUGACACUUGUGUAUUCUUUUGGAUAUGGAAACACUGCCUCAUAGCCUAUACUUGGAAUGGAAUCUGAUGUUAGCAACC